rnacentral:rRNA from 1 species
UACAGAGGGUGCGAGCGUUAAUCGGAAUUACUGGGCGUAAAGCGCACGUAGAUGGCUUUGUAAGUCAGAUGUGAAAUCCCCGGGCUCAACCUGGGAACUGCAUUUGAAACUGCAUUGCUCGAAUGUGGAAGAGGGAAGCGGAAUUCCGGGUGUAGCGGUGAAAUGCGUAGAUAUCCGGAGGAACACCGGUGGCGAAGGCGGCUUCCUGGACCGACACUGACGCUGAGGCGCGAAAGCUAGGGGAGCAAACGGG